UGCAGUCGACGAUGAAGCCUUUCGGGGUGGAUUAGUGGCGAACGGGUGAGUAACACGUGGGUAAUCUGCCCUGCACUCUGGGACAAGCCCUGGAAACGGGGUCUAAUACCGGAUAAUACCGGCCGAGGCAUCUCGGCUGGUUAAAAGCUCCGGCGGUGCAGGAUGAGCCCGCGGCCUAUCAGCUUGUUGGUGAGGUAGUGGCUCACCAAGGCGACGACGGGUAGCCGGCCUGAGAGGGCGACCGGCCACACUGGGACUGAGACACGGCCCAGACUCCUACGGGAGGCAGCAGUGGGGAAUAUUGCACAAUGGGCGGAAGCCUGAUGCAACGACGCCGCGUGAGGGAUGACGGCCUUCGGGUUGUAAACCUCUUUCAGCAGGGAAGAAGCGAAAGUGACGGUACCUGCAGAAGAAGCGCCGGCUAACUACGUGCCAGCAGCCGCGGUAAUACGUAGGGCGCAAGCGUUGUCCGGAAUUAUUGGGCGUAAAGAGCUCGUAGGCGGCUUGUCACGUCGGUUGUGAAAGCCCGGGGCUUAACCCCGGGUCUGCAGUCGAUACGGGCAGGCUAGAGUUCGGUAGGGGAGAUCGGAAUUCCUGGUGUAGCGGUGAAAUGCGCAGAUAUCAGGAGGAACACCGGUGGCGAAGGCGGAUCUCUGGGCCGAUACUGACGCUGAGGAGCGAAAGCGUGGGGAGCGAACAGGAUUAGAUACCCUGGUAGUCCACGCCGUAAACGGUGGGCACUAGGUGUGGGCAACAUUCCACGUUGUCCGUGCCGCAGCUAACGCAUUAAGUGCCCCGCCUGGGGAGUACGGCCGCAAGCUAAAACUCAAAGGAAUUGAC
rnacentral:rRNA from 1 species